GACGAACGCUGGCGGCGUGCUUAACACAUGCAAGUCGAACGGAAAGGCCCUGCUUUUGUGGGGUGCUCGAGUGGCGAACGGGUGAGUAACACGUGAGUAACCUGCCCUUGACUUUGGGAUAACUUCAGGAAACUGGGGCUAAUACCGGAUAGGAGCUCCUGCUGCAUGGUGGGGGUUGGAAAGUUUCGGCGGUUGGGGAUGGACUCGCGGCUUAUCAGCUUGUUGGUGGGGUAGUGGCUUACCAAGGCUUUGACGGGUAGCCGGCCUGAGAGGGUGACCGGCCACAAUGGUACUAAGGUACGGCCCAGACUCCUACGGGAGGCAGCAGUGGGGAAUAUUGCACAAUGGGCGGAAGCCUGAUGCAGCAACGCCGCGUGCGGGAUAACGGCCUUCGAGUUGUAAACCGCUUUCGCCUGUGACGAAGCGUGAUUGACGGUAAUGGAUAAAAAAGCACCGGCUAACUACGUG
rnacentral:rRNA from 1 species